GCCACAUCAUGUUGAAAUACCAAUUCCCAUAUGAUCACUGAAGUUAAGCAACAUCAAGCUUGGUCAGUACCUAAAUGGGUAACCACUUAAGAAUACUAGGUGUUGUAAG